CCCUUAGAUGUUCUGGGCCGCACGCGCGCUACACUGACGAAUGCAACGAGCUUAUAACCUUGGCCGAAAGGUCUGGGUAAUCUCCAAAUUUCGUCGUGAUGGGGAUAGAUUAUUGCAAUUAUUAAUCUUCAACGAGGAAUGCCUAGUAAGCGCAAGUCAUCAGCUUGCGUUGAUUACGUCCCUGCCCUUUGUACACACCGCCCGUCGCUCCUACCGAUUGAGUGGUCCGGUGAGGCUUUGGGAUCUGAGCGGAAAGAGCGUUUCGCUGUUUCUGCCCGGAAAACUCAGUCGAACCUUAUCAUUUAGAGGAAGGAGAAGUCGUAACA
rnacentral:rRNA from 1 species